GACGUAGGGCGCGAGCGUUGUCCGGAUUUAUUGGGCGUAAAGAGCUCGUAGGCGGCUUGUUGCGUCAGCUGUGAAAACCCGCAGCUCAACUGUGGGCUUGCAGCUGAUACGGGCAGGCUUGAGUUCGGUAGGGGAGACUGGAAUUCCUGGUGUAGCGGUGAAAUGCGCAGAUAUCAAGUGGAACACCAGUGGCGAAGGCGAGUCCCUGGAAAACUCCUGACACUGAGGCACGAAAGCUAGGGGAGCAAACAGG
rnacentral:rRNA from 1 species